rnacentral:rRNA from 1 species
UACGGAGGGUGCAAGCGUUAUCCGGAUUCACUGGGUUUAAAGGGUGCGUAGGUGGGUAAGUAAGUCAGAGGUGAAAUCCCAAAGCUUAACUUUGGAGCUGCCUUUGAUACUGAAAGUCUUGAGUUUGAGAGAGGGCAAUGGAAUAUCUGGUGUAGCAGUGAAAUGCGUAGAUAUCAGAUAGAACACCAAUGGCGAAGGCAGUUGCCUGGCUCAAAACUGACGCUAAAGCACGAAAGUGUGGGGAGCAAACAGG